rnacentral:tRNA from 1 species
UCCCAUGUGGUCUAUAUGAUUCGUGGCUUUCACCCACGCGGCCCGGGUUCGAUUCCCGGCAUGGGAA